AAGAAACCAACAGGGAUUGCCUCAGUAACGGCGAGUGAAGCGGCAACAGCUCAAAUUUGAAAUCUGGUCCUUUCAGGGCCCGAGUUGUAAUUUGGAGAGGAUGCUUCGGCUGCGGCCCUGGUCUAAGUUCCUUGGAACAGGACGUCACAGAGGGUGAGAACCCCGUACGUGGCUGGGUGCCAACGCCAUGUGAAGCUCCUUCGACGAGUCGAGUUGUUUGGGAAUGCAGCUCUAAACGGGAGGUAGAUUUCUUCUAAAGCUAAAUACCGGCGAGAGACCGAUAGCGCACAAGUAGAGUGAUCGAAAGAUGAAAAGCACUUUGGAAAGAGAGUUAAAAAGUACGUGAAAUUGUUGAAAGGGAAGCGCUUGCAACCAGACUUGGGCGUAGUUGUUUAGCUGGGCUUCUGCCCGGUGCACUCUUCUGCGCCCAGGCCAGCAUCAGUUCAGGCGGCCGGAUAAAGGCCUUGGGAAUGUAGCUCCUCUCGGGGAGUGUUAUAGCCCUCGGUGCAAUGCGGCCUGCCUGGACUGAGGUCCGCGCUUCUGCUAGGAUGCUGGCGUAAUGGUUGUAAGC
rnacentral:rRNA from 1 species